UACAGAGGUCUCAAGCGUUGUCCGGAAUCAUUGGGCGUAAAUAGCGCGUAGGCGGCCCUGUAAGUCCGCUGUGAAAGUCAAGGGCUCAACCCUUGAAUGCCGGUGGAUACUGCAGGGCUAGAGUCCGGAAGAGGAGAGUGGAAUUCCUGGUGUAGCGGUGAAAUGCGCAGAUAUCAGGAAGAACACCCAUGGCGAAAGCAGCUCUCUGGGACGGUACUGACGCUGAGACGCGAAAGCGUGGGGAGCGAACAGG
rnacentral:rRNA from 1 species